CCCUUAGAUGUUCUGGGCCGCACACGCGCUACACUGACGAAUGCAACGAGCUUAUAACCUUGGCCGAAAGGUCUGGGUAAUCUCCAAAUUUCGUCGUGAUGGGGAUAGAUUAUUGCAAUUAUUAAUCUUCAACGAGGAAUGCCUAGUAAGCGCAAGUCAUCAGCUUGCGUUGAUUACGUCCCUGCCCUUUGUACACACCGCCCGUCGCUCCUACCGAUUGAAUGGUCCGGUGAAGCGUUCGGACCGUGGCCUUUGGACGGUUCGCCGUCUGUUGGCUGCGGGAAGUUCGUUAAACCUUAUCAUUUAGAGGAAGGAGAANUCGUAACA
rnacentral:rRNA from 1 species